UGGGGAAUAUUGGACAAUGGAGGAAACUCUGAUCCAGCAAUUCUGUGUGUGUGAAGAAGGUUUUAGGACUGUAAAACACUUUUAGUAGGGAAGAAAAAAAUGACGGUACCUACAGAAGAAGCAACGGCAAAAUACGUGCCAGCAGCCGCGGUAAUACGUAUGUUGCGAGCGUUAUCCGGAAUUAUUGGGCUUAAAGGGCAUCUAGGCGGUAAGACAAGUUGAAGGUGAAAACCUGUGGCUCAACCAUAGGCUUGCCUACAAAACUGUUGAACUAGAGUACUGGAAAGGUGGGUGGAACUACACGAGUAGAGGUGAAAUUCGUAGAUAUGUGUAGGAAUGCCGAUGAUGAAGAUAACUCACUGGACAGAAACUGACGCUGAAGUGCGAAAGCUAGGGGAGCGAACAGG
rnacentral:rRNA from 1 species